AUUGAACGCUGGCGGCAGGCCUAACACAUGCAAGUCGAACGAGUUGCUGACUGGUGAGUAAUACAUCGGAAUCUACCCUGUCGAUGGGGAUAACUUCUGGAAACUUUCGCUCAUACCGCCUACGCUCGACUGAGCCCAUAUGGGAUUAGCUAGUCGGGGGGGUAACGGCCCACCAAGGCGACGAUCCCUAGCUGGUCUGAGAGGAUGAUCAGCCAGACUGGAACUGAGACACGGUCCAGACUCCUACGGGAGGCAGCAGUGGGGAAUAUUGGACAAUGGGCGCAAGCCUGAUGCAGCCAUACCGCGUGGGUGAAGAAGGCCUUAGGGUUGUAAAGCACUUUAAGUGGGGAGGCGUUACCAGCAGAAGAAGCACCGGCUAACUUCGUGCCAGCAGCCGCGGUAAUAC
rnacentral:rRNA from 1 species